rnacentral:rRNA from 1 species
UACUCCUACGGGAGGCAGCAGUGGGGAAUAUUGGACAAUGGGCGCAAGCCUGAUCCAGCCAUACCGCGUGGGUGAAGAAGGCCUUCGGGUUGUAAAGCCCUUUUGUUGGGAAAGAAAAGCAUUCGGUUAAUACCCGGGUGUUCUGACGGUACCCAAAGAAUAAGCACCGGCUAACUUCGUGCCAGCAGCCGCGGUAAUACGAAGGGUGCAAGCGUUACUCGGAAUUACUGGGCGUAAAGCGUGCGUAGGUGGUGGUUUAAGUCCGUUGUGAAAGCCCUGGGCUCAACCUGGGAAUUGCAGUGGAUACUGGGUCACUAGAGUGUGGUAGAGGAUAGUGGAAUUUCCGGUGUAGCAGUGAAAUGCGUAGAGAUCGGAAGGAACACCUGUGGCGAAGGCGACUAUCUGGGCCAACACUGACACUGAGGCACGAAAGCGUGGGGAGCAAACAGGAUUAGACACCCUGGUAGUCCACGCCCUAAACGAUGCGAACUGGAUGUUGGGUUCAACUUGGAACCCAGUAUCGAAGCUAACGCGUUAAGUUCGCCGCCUGGGGAGUACGGUCGCAAGACUGAAACUCAAAGGAAUUGACGGNNNCCGCACAAGCGGUGGAGUAUGUGGUUUAAUUCGAUGCAACGCGAAGAACCUUACCUGGUCUUGACACCCACGGAACUUUCCAGAGAUGGAUUGGUGCCUUCGGGAACCGUGAGACAGGUGCUGCAUGGCUGUCGUCAGCUCGUGUCGUGAGAUGUUGGGUUAAGUCCCGCAACGAGCGCAACCCUUGUCCUUAGUUGCCAGCACGUAAAGGUGGGAACUCUAAG